ACGCUCGACACCUACGGGAGACAGCAGUGGGGAAUAUUGCACAAUGGGGGAAACCCUGAUGCAGCGACGCCGCGUGAGUGAAGAAGUAUUUCGGUAUGUAAAGCUCUAUCAGCAGGGAAGAAGAUGACGGUACCUGAGUAAGAAGCCCCGGCUAACUACGUGCCAACAGCCGCGGUAAUCUGAGCGGGCUGGCAAGGC
rnacentral:rRNA from 1 species